GGCCUCGAAGCUCAGCUGGUAGAGCGUGCGCAUUACAAAAGUGUAGGCGGUGGCGAUGAGUGGGUUCGAAUCCCACCGAGGCUA
rnacentral:tRNA from 1 species